AUGAAACCAUUACCCCUCCCUGGAAGGCAGCUGGAUGGUUUGGAUGUCGACAUGCAUGCACAGUCUGUGUUUAGGUAUAACACACUCUCUAAAGGCUGUUUUCAUUCCCCCUCCAAACAGAAACUCGGCGAAGGACUUGUGAAGCUGCGGGCAGCGCGAGAGGCCCCAUCAGACUGCGUGUGCCCCCCAGGAAGUCACCUGUUUGGUCACAGGGCACAGCUGGGUUGGUUUCUAGAGUGGGACCCUCGGGCUUUUUGCGGCUCCGAGGGGCCGGCGGCCGGCAGAGGGGGCCCGGCGGUUUCGGCAGGGCCACGGAGAGAUCGCGAUCGGCAGAAGAAAUCAAAGAAGGAUUCUUCUCAAAUCAUCUAGUCCAACUGCCCUGCAGCAGUCAGGGACAUCUCCAGCUAGGUCAGGUUUCUCGGAGCCCUAUGCAACCUGACCUUGGAAGUAGUAACAAUUUGAAAAAAAAAAGAUAAUUAAAAGAAUAUAUUUUUAAAAGCUUGGAAAAUAACAUUUCUUUCUCGAAUGCUGAGCAUGCUUCAAAAAGUUGCUUCUGCAGUUGCUCUGAGCAUCUGUGCACUGCUUUGAGUUUUGCUUUAUUCAUUCAGCCAAGGCGAUGCGGGGGAGUAUGACAACAACUUUGUGUCACUUUGAGUCCUUUGUGGUUCGGGCAUUUUUGUGGCUGAGGGAGAGGAGAGCAUCCUUGGGGAGUUGAGGCAGCUGGACUGAGUGUGGGUCAGGCUCGGGAACGCUGUGACAGCCUGGUGACCCCACUCUGGGGACGAACAUGGCCUUCGAGUCCCCUCAGCUAUUUGGGACGGGGUGGCAGCGGUUGGACGCUGCGGGCGCCAGGACAGGCUGUCCCCAUAUGUUGUCUCACAGGGAAACAGCAGCUUAAUACUUGUGCUAUUGUCAUUCCCUAAGCCAGGCCUGUAAUACUUUGCAGAGAGGCCCCUCGUCCCCUUGUGUUCAGCCUUUCUCUGGUGGGAUCCUCACAAAGCCUUUGCUGCAGGAUGAAGCGCAGCAGGUGCGGGGACGCUGGCAUUUGGGACAGCCUUCAGCUGAUGAGCACUGGGAGGUGGCUGGAAGGCAAGACUAAAACUUCACACUGGUAAACAAUUUGUUUAUCAGUCGUGUGGGAUCUGGCAGCCUUCUCAUAUAUAUGUUUUUUUGAGGAUUAUCUUUUAUUUUUCCCACCUUGUAAUUUUAACAGUCUUUUAAAGCCUCAGGUGCAAAAGGCUCUUGUUAAAGGUGGUAUUUGCUGUGCCAAAAGUCUUCAAGCUCUGUGAGAACAGGUCCCUCGAGGUUCAAGGUGCUGGAUGAACCUCACUAGAGCUUGAGAGCAAAUGUUUCCUUAAAUCCAGUAAAA
rnacentral:lncRNA from 1 species